AGCUUUGCACAGUGGCAGUAUCAUAGCCAAUGAGGUUUAUCUGAGGCACAAUUAUUGCUAAUUGAAAACAUUUCCCAAUACCCUGCCAUGAAGACUUGCAAUAGAGUUGACACUAGUAAUUUUUGACAGUCUCCAUGGUGA
ensembl:snRNA U4 U4 spliceosomal RNA